UCAGAGCAGUGACAACAGUUUCAUCGUACGGAAGACUUUGGGACAUUUUUGUUGCAACAGAGACAUUCUUGUUCCAUUUCAUAGUUGUUGAUACAGUCCUGCUGACCGUCAAAAGGAGCACGACCUCAGACAGGAGCAGCCCCGCGAGCCUGGGCACGUUAUUUACACCCCCUCCAAGCCUCAGCUUGCCCACCAGGAAAGAUGGCGUUUUAAGUGUCCUUUGAACUCUGACAACUGAUUUCUACUCCACCUGACGAGUCCAGAGCCAGAAGGCUUAAAGAGUUCCAAGAUGAGAUUUGUUUUCUUAAAGAGAAAACUUAAAUCAAUUGCUUCCAAGUUAGACACAUCUGUGGACUUAGAACACCCAGAUGACUUCAAAUAAUGAUGUAUUUGGCCCAUCUCCUACAUCUGGAUGGUUAAGACUGAAUGUCAAAAGAAAAGGAAAAAAAAGGAAAUUAGAAAGCCUUCCUCGGUCUGUGGAUAAUAAAUGGAUAUGGACUUGAA